UGGGGAAUAUUGCACAAUGGAGGGAACUCUGAUGCAGCGACGCCGCGUGAACGAAGAAGGCUUUCGAGUCGUAAAGUUCUUUUAUAUGGGAAGAUAAUGACGGUACCAUAAGAAAAAGCCCCGGCUAACUACGUGCCAGCAGCCGCGGUAAUACGUAGGGGGCUAGCGUUGUCCGGAAUCACUGGGCGUAAAGGGUUCGCAGGCGGAAAUGCAAGUCAGGUGUAAAAGGCAGUAGCUUAACUACUGUAAGCAUUUGAAACUGCAUAUCUUGAGAAGAGUAGAAGUAAGUGGAAUUUUUAGUGUAGCGGUGAAAUGCGUAGAUAUUAAAAAGAAUACCGGUGGCGAAGGCGACUUACUGGGCUCAUUCUGACGCUGAGGAACUAAAGCGUGGGUAGCAAACAGG
rnacentral:rRNA from 1 species